AGCGAACGCUGGCGGCAGGCCUAACACAUGCAAGUCGAACGGACCUUUCGGGGUUAGUGGCGGACGUGUGAUUAACACGUGGGAACUUGCCUUUAGGUUCGGAAUCGCUCCUGGAAACGUGUGUUAAUGCCGAAUGUGCCCUUCGGGGGAAAGAUUUAUCGCCUUUAGAGCGGCCCGCGUCUGAUUAGCUAGUUGGUUGAGGUAACGGCUCACCAAGGCGUCGAGCAGUAGCUGGUCUGAGAGGAGGGCCAGCCACAUUGGGAAUGAGACACGGCCCAAAAUCCGACGGGAGGGAGCAGUGGGGAAGAUUGCGCAAGGGGCGAAAGCCUGACGCAGCCAUGCCGCGUGAAUGAUGAAGGUGUUAGGAUUGUAAAAUUCUUUCAGCGGGGACGAUAAUGACGGUACCCGGAGAAGAAGCCCCGGCUAACUUCGUG
rnacentral:rRNA from 1 species